rnacentral:rRNA from 1 species
AGAGAGAGACAUGCGCGCAUAUCAAUAAGCGGAGGAAAAGAAACUAACAAGGAUUCCCUUAGUAACGGCGAGUGAAGCGGGAAGAGCUCAAAUUUGAAAUCUUCAAGGUUUUACCUUGACGAAUUGUAGUUUAAAGAAGUGUUUUCUGCUGAAGUUUUGGUAAAAGUUCUUUGGAAUAGGACAUCAUAGAGGGUGAGAAUCCCGUAUUUGACCAUUAUUUUCCAGCUUUGUGAUACACUUUCAAAGAGUCGGAUUGUUUGGGAAUGCAGUCCAAAAUGGGUGGUAAAUUUCAUCUAAAGCUAAAUAUUGGCGAGAGACCGAUAGCGAACAAGUACCGUGAGGGAAAGAUGAAAAGAACUUUGAAAAGAGAGGUUAAACAGUACGUGAAAUUGUCAAAAGGGAAGCGUUUGACACCAGUGUUGUUUUCUCGAAAAUCAAUUAAAAAUGGCUCGAUUUUGUAUUGCUUGAGACCUUAAAAGCUCACUGUACAUUUUUCGUGUCUUUUUUAAUGCACUUUUCGUUUAACAAGUCAACAUCAGUUUCUUUUGUUGUAAAAGGGUCAUUGGAAGGUGGCUUUCUUUUCGGAGAAAGUGUUUAUAGCCUUUGGCCUCUGCAAUCGGAGAGACUGAGGUCUGCAGCGUAGACUCUUCGGGGUUAGAUACAUUUGUGCUAAGUUAUAGCUUUUUAUAGACAACUUGUUGACUAUAAUUAGUCUUGUAGCUUACUCGCUUAUGCUAUUUUACCUACGCUUAGGAUGUUGAAGAUGUAGCACAUCAU